rnacentral:rRNA from 1 species
AUUGAACGCUGGCGGCAGGCCUAACACAUGCAAGUCGAACGGUAACAGGAAGAAGCUUGCUUCUUUGCUGACGAGUGGCGGACGGGUGAGUAAUGUCUGGGAAACUGCCUGAUGGAGGGGGAUAACUACUGGAAACGGUAGCUAAUACCGCAUAACGUCGCAAGACCAAAGAGGGGGACCUUCGGGCCUCUUGCCAUCGGAUGUGCCCAGAUGGGAUUAGCUAGUAGGUGGGGUAACGGCUCACCUAGGCGACGAUCCGUAGCUGGUCUGAGAGGAUGAUCAGCCACACUGGAACUGAGACACGGUCCAGACUCCUACGGGAGGCAGCAGUGGGGAAUAUUGCACAAUGGGCGCAAGCCUGAUGCAGCCAUGCCGCGUGUAUGAAGAAGGCCUUCGGGUUGUAAAGUACUUUCAGCGGGGAGGAAGGGAGUAAAGUUAAUACCUUCGCUCAUUGACGUUACCCGCAGAAGAAGCACCGGCUAACUCCGUG